AUCUCUGUAGAGUCUGCAUAUCAAUAAGCGGAGGAAAAGAAACUAACAAGGAUUCCCUAAGUAACGGCGAGUGAAGCGGGAAGAGCUCAAAUUUGAAAUCUUCAAGGUUUUACCUUGACGAAUUGUAGUUUAAAGAAGUGUUUUCUGUUGGUGUUUUGGUAAAAGUUCUUUGGAAUAGGACAUCAUAGAGGGUGAGAAUCCCGUAUUUGACCAUUACUUCCAGCGUUGUGAUACACUUUCAAAGAGUCGGAUUGUUUGGGAAUGCAGUCCAAAAUGGGUGGUAAAUUUCAUCUAAAGCUAAAUACUGGCGAGAGACCGAUAGCGAACAAGUACCGUGAGGGAAAGAUGAAAAGAACUUUGAAAAGAGAGUUAAACAGUACGUGAAAUUGUCAAAAGGGAAGCGUUUGACACCAGUGUUGUUUUCUCGAAAAUCAAUUAAAAAUGGAUUGAUUUUGUGUUGUAUUGACUUUAUCAAGCUUUCAUCACUCUUUUUCAUUGUCUUUUUUAAUGCACUUUUCGUUUAACAAGUCAACAUCAGUUUCUUUUGUUGUAAAAGGGUCAUUGGAAGGUGGCUUUCUUUUCGGAGAAAGUGUUUAUAAUCCUUUGACUUCUGCAAUCGGAGAGAUUGAGGUCUGCAGCGUAGAUCCUUCGGGGUUAGAUGCAUUUGUGCUAAGUUAUAGCCUUUCAUAGACAACUUGUUGACUAUGAUCAGUCAUGUAGCUUACUCGCUUAUGUCAUUUUACCUACGCUUAGGAUGUUGAUCUCUCACAGUCGAGC
rnacentral:rRNA from 1 species